GGGUCCGUGGACCAGCGGAGUGGUCGCUUUCCUGUCACGAAAGAGAUCGGGGGUUCAAAUCCCCUCGGACCCG
rnacentral:tRNA from 1 species